CAGCAAACCAGGAACGUGAGCAGUCUAAGUGCUCCUUACAGAAGAAACACGUGCCGAGGGGAGGCACACAGGGCCGGGCAGCCGGUAAUCCAGGUGCCCAGGGUGUGAGCACCUGCCUGCAAAAACCCCCAAAAACUCCAAAUUCCCAUCAGCCAAAACCUGUCUGUUUAGAGUCUUUCAGGUCCAAAACCAAAAAGUAGCCAUGACCAGAACAGGUGCCUUGACAUAACUGGCGAGUGUGAGGCCAGAGGGUAUGUGCUCUAAGGGCAGUCAAGCUGGAGACGGCUACUUGCCGUUCUUACCGCCACUAAAUAUGCUGAUGCUCUAGUUUAUCUACCAUCUCCUUGGAGACCGAGAGUACAAUUGUGACAAUCUGGUUUACCUGCAACAUCAAAUUCCGGGGCCUGCCGAGCUGAUGGCCUGCCUUCCAGGAGAUUCGCCGGGUCAAGGGCACCCCGAGGCCUCGCGCCUGAUCACCUGCUCACCAGCCUCCUGCUAACAGCUCCUGCCUGUGUGCUGGGCGCGUCUCCACCAUGGCAGGGCUGCUGACUGGCACACGGCUCAGAGCACAGCCCUGUGGAGACUUACAGCCUCUACCGGCCCAAGUGAAACUGGAAAACAACUACUCCCCUUCCCCGAGUUUAAUAUGGAGCAAAUUAAGAUGAAAAUUCAUGGAACCUAUCAGAAACCACAAGGUUGCUGACCAACAAGACUGCCGACCAACGAGACUGCCUCACAGGCAGGAAGAAGGGCACGGAGCCGGCCUCAGCUGUGAGCCUCCUCCAGUCCCAGCGUCCUGCGCCACCGCAUGGUGGGUAUCGGCCAGCGUCCUGCACCAUCUCGUGGUGGGUAUCGGCCAGCGUCCUGCGCCACUGUGUGGGGGUAUCGGCCAGCGUCCCACACCACUGCGUGGUGGUAAAAUGGGAACAACUAACUACAAAACCAGUUCAGCAGGCUAUGCGGAGGCUGCGGGACCCUCAGGACUGUGGGUGAUGCCUAAGUUCUGAAUUGAUUAUCAGCUCUAAUAUUAUUCAAUAUAUUUAAUAAAUAUAAAAUUAAAGUGUUUAGUAUCUGCCACAUGGAAGACAUCAA